GGACGAACGCUGGCGGCGUGCCUAAUACAUGCAAGUCGAACGAGCUCUCCCAAAUUGAUUUUAUGCUUGCGUAAAUGAUUUUUGGAUUCGGAGCGAGUGGCGAACUGGUGAGUAACACGUGGGUAACCUGCCCUGAAGCGGGGGAUAACAUUUGGAAACAAGUGCUAAUACCGCAUAAUUAGUUGGAACCGCAUGGUUCCAACUUGAAAGAUGGCUCUGCUAUCACUUUGGGAUGGACCCGCGCCGUAUUAGUUAGUUGGUGAGAUAAAAGCCCACCAAGACGAUGAUACGUAGCCGACCUGAGAGGGUAAUCGGCCACAUUGGGACUGAGACACGGCCCAGACUCCUACGGGAGGCAGCAGUAGGGAAUCUUCCACAAUGGACGAAAGUCUGAUGGAGCAACGCCGCGUGAGUGAUGAAGGUUUUCGGAUCGUAAAACUCUGUUGUUAAAGAAGAACAAGUGUUAGAGUAACUGUUAACACUUUGACGGUAUUUAACCAGAAAGCCACGGCUAACUACGUGCCAGCAGCCGCGGUAAUACGUAGGUGGCAAGCGUUGUCCGGAUUUAUUGGGCGUAAAGCGAGCGCAGGCGGUUUUGUAAGUCUGCUGUGAAAGCCCUCAGCUCAACUGAGGAAGUGCAGUGGAAACUACAAAGCUUGAGUACAGAAGAGGAAAGUGGAACUCCAUGUGUAGCGGUGAAAUGCGUAGAUAUAUGGGAAGAACACCAGUGGCGAAGGCGGCUUUCUGGUCUGUUACUGACGCUGAGGCUCGAAAGCAUGGGUAGCGAACAGGAUUAGAUACCCUGGUAGUCCAUGCCGUAAACGAUGAAUACUAGGUGUUGGAGGGUUUCCGCCCUUCAGUGCCGCAGCUAACGCAUUAAGUAUUCCGCCUGGGGAGUACGACCGCAAGGUUGAAACUCAAAGGAAUUGACGGGGGCCCGCACAAGUGGUGGAGCAUGUGGUUUAAUUCGAUGCUACGCGAAGAACCUUACCAGCUCUUGACAUCUUCUGCCAACCCAAGAGAUUGGGCGUUCCCUUCGGGGACAGAAUGACAGGUGGUGCAUGGUUGUCGUCAGCUCGUGUCGUGAGAUGUUGGGUUAAGUCCCGCAACGAGCGCAACCCUUAUUAUUAGUUGCCAGCAUUUAGUUGGGCACUCUAGUGAGACUGCCGGUGAUAAACCGGAGGAAGGUGGGGACGACGUCAAAUCAUCAUGCCCCUUAUGAGCUGGGCUACACACGUGCUACAAUGGAUGGUACAACGAGUCGCGAAACCGCGAGGUCAAGCUAAUCUCUUAAAGCCAUUCUCAGUUCGGAUUGCAGGCUGCAACUCGCCUGCAUGAAGUUGGAAUCACUAGUAAUCGUGGAUCAGCAUGCCACGGUGAAUACGUUCCCGGGCCUUGU
rnacentral:rRNA from 1 species